AUUGAACGCUGGCGGCAUGCUUUACACAUGCAAGUCGAACGGUAACAGGCCUUCGGGUGCUGACGAGUGGCGAACGGGUGAGUAAUGCAUCGGAACGUACCCAGAGGUGGGGGAUAACGCAGCGAAAGCUGUGCUAAUACCGCAUGUGAUCUGAGGAUGAAAGCGGGGGACCGAGCAGCAAUGUUUGGCCUCGCGCCUUUGGAGCGGCCGAUGUCGGAUUAGCUAGUUGGUGGGGUAAAGGCCUACCAAGGCGACGAUCCGUAGCUGGUCUGAGAGGACGACCAGCCACACUGGGACUGAGACACGGCCCAGACUCCUACGGGAGGCAGCAGUGGGGAAUUUUGGACAAUGGGCGCAAGCCUGAUCCAGCAAUGCCGCGUGCGGGAAGAAGGCCUUCGGGUUGUAAACCGCUUUUGGCAGGAACGAAACGGUGUCCGCUAAUACCGGGCGCUAAUGACGGUACCUGCAGAAUAAGCACCAGCUAACUACGUG
rnacentral:rRNA from 1 species